rnacentral:rRNA from 1 species
UACAGAGGUGGCAAGCGUUGUUCGGAAUUACUGGGCGUAAAGGGCGCGUAGGCGGUUCUGUAAGUCCCGCGUGAAAUCCCCCGGCUCAACUGGGGAACUGCGCGGGAAACUGUGGGGCUAGAGUUCAGGAGAGGGAAGCGGAAUUCCGGGUGUAGCGGUGAAAUGCGUAGAUAUCCGGAGGAACACCGGUGGCGAAGGCGGCUUCCUGGACUGACACUGACGCUGAGGCGCGAAAGCUAGAGGAGCAAACGGG